UGAAGCUCAAGAACGUGCUUGUAAAACAGCUGCUGCUUAGCAAUGUUUUUUCUUGGGUGAAUAUGCCAGAAUGUGGAUACAUACAUAGAACAGGCAGGGAGAAGAGUAAGAGUCCAGAACUGGAGAUGAAAUCCCUGCAGCAAAUAUGGACAGACCCUAGG
rnacentral:lncRNA from 1 species